GACGAACGCUGGCGGCGUGCUUAACACAUGCAAGUCGAACGGAGUGGCGAACGGGUGAGUAACACGGGGGUGACCUGCCCUGCACUUCGGCAUAAGCCUGGGAAACUGGGUCUAAUACCGGAGCGUGUUGGAUGGGGCCGCGGCCUAUCAGCUUGUGGGUGGGGGAAUGGCCUACCAAGGCGGCGACGGGUAGCCGGCCUGGGAGGGUGGACGGCCACCGUGGGACUUCGGCACGGCCCAGACUCGUACGGGAGGCAGCAGGGGGGAGUAUUGCCCAAGGGGCGGAAGCCUGAUGCAGCGACGCCGCGUGGGGGAUGCCGGCCUUCGGGUGGUAAACUCCGUUAACCAUCGACGCGGUAGAUGGAGAAGAAGCACCGGCUAACUACGUGCCAGCAGCCGCGGUAAUAC
rnacentral:rRNA from 1 species